rnacentral:misc_RNA from 1 species
AUUUCUCACCUGCCUCAAGUCUCUCCCUUUCAAUGUCCUCCCUUUGCCUUCAUGAACAGAAAAUGAAGCUCCUCUCCUUCUGAUUAAAUAUUCAUGGGGAGGAACCCUACCUUCUUCAUCAUCAUCACCACCAUGAUCAUCAUCAUCAUAAUCAUAGUGAUCACUGUCCUUAUCUUGACCAUGAUCAUGAUGAUGAUCCAUAUAAAUCUUGGACCAAUCUGGUA